rnacentral:lncRNA from 1 species
AUCCGUUAUUUUUGUAAUACCAUUAAAGUUUACCUUUACAAUUCCUUUAUCUCGUGUUUCAUGAAUAUUACCAUCUCCAAUUUUUACCAACCUUCGAAUCGAUCUAUCCAACUCGAUAAAUAUAUCUUCUCUUCCUGUCAUGUGAGCACUACAACCACUAUCCAAAUACCAAAUAUUUUUCAAAUUUGUAUUUACGGUAUAGCAAGCAAAAAGAACAUUGGAUUCAACAUAGUUAGCAUCCACUUGAGAAUUAUUUUCCUUUUUCAAUAGACAAAAUCUUUCUAUAUGACCAUAUUUCUUACAAUAAAAAUAUUGGGCAUUCUUAAAG